GAUGAACGCUGGCGGCGUGCCUAAUACAUGCAAGUCGAGCGAACAGACGAGGAGCUUGCUCCUCUGACGUUAGCGGCGGACGGGUGAGUAACACGUGGAUAACCUACCUAUAAGACUGGGAUAACUUCGGGAAACCGGAGCUAAUACCGGAUAAUAUAUUGAACCGCAUGGUUCAAUAGUGAAAGACGGUUUUGCUGUCACUUAUAGAUGGAUCCGCGCCGCAUUAGCUAGUUGGUAAGGUAACGGCUUACCAAGGCGACGAUGCGUAGCCGACCUGAGAGGGUGAUCGGCCACAAUGGAACUGAGACACGGUCAAGACUCCUACGGGAGGCAGCAGUAGGGAAUCUUCCGCAAUGGGCGAAAGCCUGACGGAGCAACGCCGCGUGAGUGAUGAAGGUCUUCGGAUCGUAAAACUCUGUUAUUAGGGAAGAACAAAUGUGUAAGUAACUAUGCACGUCUUGACGGUACCUAAUCAGAAAGCCACGGCUAACUACGUG
rnacentral:rRNA from 1 species